rnacentral:rRNA from 1 species
UACGUAGGGGGCAAGCGUUGUCCGGAAUUAUUGGGCGUAAAGCGCGCGCAGGCGGUUAAUUAAGUCAGAUGUGAAAGGCUACGGCUCAACCGUAGAGUUGCAUUUGAAACUGGUUAACUUGAGUGCAGGAGAGGUAAGUGGAAUUCCCGGUGUAGCGGUGGAAUGCGUAGAGAUCGGGAGGAACACCAGUGGCGAAGGCGGCUUACUGGCCUGCAACUGACGCUGAGGCGCGAAAGCGUGGGGAGCAAACAGG